UAUGUUUACAUAGAAGUAUUCUUAGCGGCGGACGGGUGAGUAACACGUGGGUAACCUGCCUCAAAGUGGGGGAUAGCCUUCCGAAAGGAAGAUUAAUACCGCAUAAGCCUACAGUGCCGCAUGGCACAGCAGGAAAAGGAGCAAUCCGCUUUGAGAUGGACCCGCGGCGCAUUAGCUAGUUGGUGAGGUAACGGCUCACCAAGGCGACGAUGCGUAGCCGACCUGAGAGGGUGAUCGGCCACAUUGGAACUGAGACACGGUCCAGACUCCUACGGGAGGCAGCAGUGGGGAAUACUGCACAAUGGGCGAAAGCCUGAUGCAGCAACGCCGCGUGAGUGAUGAAGGCCUUCGGGUCGUAAAGCUCUUUGAUCAGGGAUGAUAAUGACAGUACCUGAAAAACAAGCCACGGCUAACUACGUGCCAGCAGCCGCGGUAAUACGUAGGUGGCGAGCGUUGUCCGGAAUUACUGGGCGUAAAGGAUGCGUAGGUGGAUAUUUAAGUGGGAUGUGAAAUCCCCGGGCUCAACCCGGGAACUGCAUUCCAAACUGGGUAUCUAGAGUGCAGGAGAGGAAAGCGGAAUUCCUAGUGUAGCGGUGAAAUGCGUAGAUAUUAGGAGGAACACCAGUGGCGAAGGCGGCUUUCUGGACUGUAACUGACACUGAGGCAUGAGAGCGUGGGUAGCAAACAGGAUUAGAUACCCUGGUAGUCCACGCCGUAAACGAUGGGUACUAGGUGUAGGAGGUAUCGACCCCUUCUGUGCCGUCGUUAACACAAUAAGUACCCCGCCUGGGGAGUACGGUCGCAAGACUAAAACUCAAAGGAAUUGACGGGGGCCCGCACAAGCGGUGGAGUAUGUGGUUUAAUUCGAAGCAACGCGAAGAACCUUACCAGGUCUUGACAUACC
rnacentral:rRNA from 1 species